rnacentral:tRNA from 1 species
AGUAUAGCGCCGGAAAUGAACGGAUUAUAUUGAUGUUAUAAAUUAUAAGAACUCUUUAGUCUUCUAUACUU